rnacentral:rRNA from 3 species
CGCCUCUUGAACCCUUAUAAGAGGUCCAGCCUGCCCAGUGACUCUGUUCAACGGCCGCGGUAUCCUAACCGUGCGAAGGUAGCGUAAUCACUUGUUCUUUAAAUGUGGACUAGUAUGAAUGGCAUCACGAAGGUUAUACUGUCUCCUUUUUCUAAUCAGUGAAACUAAUCUCCCCGUGAAGAAGCGAGGAUAAAACUAUAAGACGAGAAGACCCUAUGGAGCUUUAAACAUUUAUAACACUUGCUAAAUAAAAUACAAAUUUCAGAAUUAUUUACUCUUUAAGCAACUUGUCUAUAAGUUUUUGGUUGGGGUGACCGCGGAGCAUAAUACAACCUCCAUGUUGAAAGAUCUAUUUCUAAGCUAAGAGCUACACCUCUAAGCAUCAACAUAUUGACAUCCAUUGACCCAAUAUAUUUGAACAACGAACCAAGUUACCCUAGGGAUAACAGCGCAAUCCACUUCAAGAGCUCCUAUCGACAAGUGGGUUUACGACCUCGAUGUUGGAUCAGGGUUUCCCAGUGGUGCAGCCGCUACUAAAGGUUCGUUUGUUCAACGAUUAAAACCCUACG